CACCUGCACUUCUCUGCCCCUUCCCUUUGGCACACCCUGAGGUAAAACACCUGCAGCUCUCUGCCCCUUCCCUUUGGCACAUCACUGAGGUAAAACACCUGCAGCUCUCUGCCCCUUCCCUUUGGCACACCCUGAGGUAAAACACCUGCAGCUCUCUGCCCCUUCCCUUUGGCACAUCCUGAGGUAAAACACCCGCAGCUCUCUGCCCCUUCCCUUUGGCACACCCUGAGGUAAAACACCUGCAGCUCUCUGCCCCUUCCCUUGGGCACACCCUGAGGUAAAACACCUGCAGCUCUCUGCCCCUUCCCUUUGGCACACCCUGAGGUAAAACACCUGCAGCUCUCUGCCCCUUCCCUUGGGCACAUCACUGAGGAGCAUUUCUGAGUGUCCUGAGAUUGCUUCAGCCUAAUUGAGCAGCAAACUGUUCAUUAUUGGCUUUGUAAAACACCCAUAUCAGGAACAAUUCCAGAGGUUUUUCAUAGGCAGGAAGGGAAAUAGCAGCAGGUGCAGGAACUGAAUGCUGAGCUUUUGUCAGUCUUAUUUCAGGAAAUAACACAACAUUCCUGUUUUCUUGUGGAAUCCCAGGUAUCUCUCCCAAACCCUUUUAAGCAGAGCUGCAUUUAGUGAAAUGUUCUAAAAACUAGCCACUCUUUCAACCUUGGAACAUGCAUAACAUUAGAGAUUUUUUUUUAUACUGUAACCUGGGGGCUGUAAUGUACUGAUAGUGUAAUGAAAUGUCAGAGCUAAAAUUGAUGUUUUCAGCAUUUCUUUGCACACAUCAAAUUCUUGUGAAACUGUAAAUGUAUGGGACUAUUAAUAUUAUAAUUAUAUCCCAGUAAAAGUAAAGGGUCUGUGACAUUCAGCGUGGUUAAAAAAAAAAGUCGAAAGUCAAAUUUCUCCAGACUGUGAGCCUUGAUAUCCAAUUCUUUGAAUGUUUUGGGGGCUUUUUGUAGUCUUAUAUAUUUAUUUUUUUAGUGGAUUCCAGUUUACCUAUAAACCAAAUCACUAAUAAACCAUUUAAACAGCAGGAGGCAAAGUUAAUGCAUUUCUGUAUUUAUAUAUAAAUAGAAGAAUUUGAUAUUUAAUGUAAAUACUAUGUUAAUCUGAAGUGCAGGUGUACUGAAAUAAUCAGGUGUGCAUCCAUGCAGAUGCAAACAGGGAUGUAGGAGUUUAGCAUUUUUAAUGGGUUUUAUUCUACUUCUUUUCUCAUGCUGGAAGCAGUCAGAAUUUUUUGCUUGCUUUAAUAAAUUAUCUAAUAAAUUAUUUGUCUCCCUAAUGGGAGCAGGGGGGGGUUGGUGCAGGGUUCCACUCACCACAACCCCAGGGGUGAUUUCCAGCUCUGCAGAGGUUUCCUUUCCUGGAGCUUUCUCUCUUGCAGCAGCACUAACAAUGUACAGCCCCUCAUAACUUGGGAAUGACUGCAUUAAACCACUCCUCAAAAUAGAGUGGGGAAUAAAGGGAUAGUGACCAUUUAAUGCAGUGUGGGCUUGAAAUCAAAGGUAAAUCCUGGAGUUUGAACAGUUCCCUUUCUUUGCAAAUGUUGUCCCUGAUAGAUGACCCUGGUUCUGACUAUCAGCAUGGAUUUUAUUUUACUUUGUAGUUCUGUUACUCUUAGUCUUUUGAGGAGAGUCUAAUAUUGUAAUUAUCUUUUUGAAAGUUUUGGUGAAACUUUUUAUUUCCAGGUGCUAAUUUGUGGCUUGUUAUCUGAACUGAGGUCAAAUAAAGAGAUCUAAUGAAUUAAAAAUAGUAUUUUUGUCAGCAAACUUAGCCUUUAUCAUCAAUAUACAUGACAGAAAAUGGUUAUGAACAGAAAGAAAUAAAGUAAUGGAUAUGAAUUUCAUUGGAAGUUAUUGUGGGAUUUGGGGCCUGUUUUUGUGGGUUUCAUUGUAUCUUUUCAAUAGCCAGACAUUGUCAUCUUGGUUUGGGAAAAAUGUGGUGCCAAGACAUCUAUGGAAGCUACAGGCUGGAGCUUGGUAUCCAGUGUUUAAAACCAAAUAAAAAAUCCCACCCUACCA